rnacentral:lncRNA from 1 species
AUGUACCCUUACAUCUCACCUGUAUGCCAUACCAGUGUCUCCACACUCCUUGAUUAAGAGGACAACCAACCCAUAUGGCCUACAGCGACCUAUGCUCGAUAGAAGCUGUCGUCCUUAUUAACAGCUUAUCAUUUGGUCGUGAACAGUUUUAAGGACUAAUCGAUAAAUCCUCUCUUUAUCGAACUUAAAUAGUCCUAAGGACUUCAUCAUAACAACGAAGUUCAUUAGAAGAUGAAAGCUUAUGAUGAAGAUGUCAAAUAUAUUUUAUUUAUUAAUAAAUUAAUUACAAUACUUGGUUGCUCAACCGUCAACAGCUUGACGAUUGGCUUUUUGGGACACAUUUCCCAACAAACGAGCCGCUGUCUCACAACCUCAGAAUCAAGGAAAACUUGCCCCA